rnacentral:rRNA from 1 species
GACAGAGGGGGCAAGCGUUGCUCGGAAUCACUGGGCGUAAAGGGCGCGUAGGCGGCGCGGUAAGUCGAGUGUGAAAUCUCGGAGCUUAACUCCGAAACUGCAUUCGAUACUGCCGUGCUUGAGGACUGGAGAGGAGACUGGAAUUUACGGUGUAGCGGUGAAAUGCGUAGAUAUCGAGAGGAACACCGGUGGCGAAGGCGGCCUUCUGGACAGUGACUGACGCUGAGACGCGAAAGCGUGGGGAGCAAACAGG